UGGGGAAUCUUGCGCAAUGGGCGAAAGCCUGACGCAGCGACGCCGCGUGAGUGAUGAAGGCCUUCGGGUUGUAAAGCUCUGUGGGGAGAGAAGAAUAAGUGCGGGCUAAUACCCCGCAUGAUGACGGUAUCUCCUUAGCAAGCACCGGCUAACUCUGUGCCAGCAGCCGCGGUAAGACAGAGGGUGCAAACGUUGUUCGGAAUUACUGGGCGUAAAGCGAGUGUAGGCGGUUUGGUAAGUCGGAUGUGAAAAGCCCCGGGCUCAACCCGGGAAGUGCAUUCGAUACUGCCAAGCUAGAGUAUCGGAGAGGUUGGUGGAAUUCUCGGUGUAGAGGUGAAAUUCGUAGAUAUCGAGAGGAACACCGGUGGCGAAGGCGGCCAACUGGACGAAUACUGACGCUGAGGCUCGAAAGCGUGGGGAGCAAACAGGAUUAGAUACCCCAGUAGUCCCUGAGCGGGCUGGCAAGGCGCAU
rnacentral:rRNA from 1 species